GAAAGCGGGGGUGUGUAAGGGGCGGGGUUCAAAUGUGGCGCUGUGGAAAUUUCUCGCGCUCGGACAAGGUGGUUUUUUUGUGGCGUUUCCAAAUUGAUAAAUAAAGAUCAGACCAGGAGCAAUCCGCAGCGGGACAUCGCCCCAGAAUAAAAAGAGGCUCCGGAGGGGACAGCGAGAGCGUCAGUCAAGAGUGGACAGUGCUCACAAUCAUAUAGGCUUGAACUUCUCCAGGUGAUUGGAACCAUGCAACACAGUCAGUACCCCAUGUAUUGGUCUUCCUCUGAUCUUCCUUUUUUUUUUUUUUUAGCUUUUUUUGGUCUCAACUGAGCAAAGUGACGGACUGUUAUGGGGCCUUCAUCCAGCACCUUACUUCUCAGUGACAUAAUACAAUAUCUGAUAUAUCUCCGAAUCCACCAUUCAUCUUUUUUCGGUAUUUAUAUAAUGGUGCUUGGACUCCCUUAAUCCCAAAACCUACUAUGUUAAGCUUGUUCGAGCUUGCACGGUGGCAUGCAGUUUUCACUAAGACACUUCUUUUGUGCUAGUUUGGAUCCAGCUGGAAUUUUCAUGUAAGAAAGAGGAGUUGAGAUGCUUUACUUCCCUGCAUACAAGAACAUACAAGACCCACAAGUCAAAAGAUAUGUAGUUAAAAGUUUUUGGUAAUAACAUUAAGUUGGCGGUAGCAAAGGGUAUUAAAUAAUCAACUAUAAUUACUCCGUUUUCAUGAAAUUACUAUAAACACAUAUUUAUUAAGUGAGAUUGUGUCACCAAUUUUCAAAUCUAAGGUUAACUAAAUGUUCAUUUUAAGUUCAUUCUUGAUGCAGCUUUCUCAAUUACUAUCUAAAUAUCUCUAUUUGCAACGUCUUACAAGUUGUUUAAAACAUGUAGGUUAUAAACAUACAGUAUUUUUUUAUAAAACGGAUAUUACUGAAGCUGAAAGCUAAUUGGCUAAGCUGCUUUUGAAACCGUUAUAUAUAUUCAAUAUAUGCUCACCUAUGACCAACUCACAUCAACAGAUAGAUUUGCCUUAUGUUUAUUAAAUCCACAGUGGGAAAACAAAUGUGUGGCACAAUUUCCUUGAUGCUAACACAACACAGGAAACCCCAUAGAAGCAGAGGAAAUUAGCAUUAUCUUUGUGGUGGUAAUUUUGUGAGCAAAAGCUACUUUAAAAAAAAAAAAGAUAAGUGCAGUAGCAGAGAUUUUUCGCAGUGGUAAUUGGGGGCCAAUCACCAGUUAUUAUGGAGGUAAUUUGGUAAGCAAAAUAUACAAUUUGUGAUAUAGUAUAUGUACUAUACAAUAUAGCAUAUGUAGUAUAUACUAUGUAAAACAUGUGGACAAAAAAGAUGAAGCCACUAGCAGAAAUUUCACUGCAGUGGUAAUUUAUUCAGCAAAAACUACUAAGACAAAGGCAUUAAAAAGUUAUUGAAAUGACUGAUAUACAUAGUGAUUGAUAACUAAAAGAUAGUUGUUGCAUGCAACAGUAGGAUACUUUUUUUAGACCUUACAUUAUUUAUUGGUCAUUUGUCAUUUGGUCAAUUUUAUGUCAUCAUCAAAUUAAGAACAUCUAUAAACACCUCUUAUGAUAAAA